rnacentral:tRNA from 1 species
GCCGAAGUGGCGGAAUCGGCAGACGCGCUGGAUUCAAAAUCCAGUAUGGGUAAACCAUGUGGGGGUUCGAGUCCCCCCUUCGGCA